GACGAACCGUGCGAACGUUGUUCGGAUUUAUUGGGCGUAAAGAGCGUGUAGGCGGCCAUUCAGGUCAGCUGUGAAAACUCGAGGCUCAACCUCGAGACGUCGGUUGAAACCGUUUGGCUAGAGUCCGGAAGAGGAGAGUGGAAUUCCCGGUGUAGCGGUGAAAUGCGCAGAUAUCGGGAAGAACACCCGUGGCGAAGGCGGCUCUCUGGGACGGUACUGACGCUGAGACGCGAAAGCGUGGGGAGCGAACAGG
rnacentral:rRNA from 1 species